AUUGAACGCUGGCGGCAGGCCUAACACAUGCAAGUCGAGCGAGCGGCGGACGGGUGAGUAAUGUAUGGGGACUGCCCGAUAGAGGGGGAUAACUACUGGAAACGGUAGCUAAUACCGCAUACUAUCGGAUAACCCAUAUGGGGUUAGCUAGUAGGGAAGGUAAUGGCUCACCUAGGCGACGAUCCCUAGCUGGUCUGAGAGGAUGAUCAGUCGCAAUUGGACUUAGGUACGGCCCAGACUCCAAGGGAGGCAGCAGUGGGGAGUAUUGCACAAUGGGCGCAAGCCUGAGGCAGCCGUGCCGCGUGUAUUAAGAAGGCCCUAGGGUUGUAAAGUACUUUCAGUCGGGAGGCGUUACCGACAGAAGGAGCACCGGCUAACUCCGUGCCAGCAGCCGCGGUAAUUC
rnacentral:rRNA from 1 species